GAUGAACGCUGGCGGCGUGCCUAAUACAUGCAAGUCGAGCGAACAGACGAGGAGCUUGCUCCGCUGACGUUAGCGGCGGACGGGUGAGUAACACGUGGAUAACCUACCUAUAAGACUGGGAUAACUUCGGGAAACCGGAUCUAAUACCGGAGAAUAUAUUGAACCGCAUGGUUCAAUAGUGAAAGACGGUUUUGCUGUCACUUAUAGAUGGAUCCGCGCCGCAUUAGCUAGUUGGUAAGGUAACGGCUUACCAAGGCGACGAUGCGUAGCCGACCUGAGAGGGUGAUCGGCCACACUGGAAGUGAGACACGGUCCAGACUCCUACGGGAGGCAGCAGUAGGGAAUCUGGCGCAAUGGGCGAGAGCCUGACGGAGCAACGCCGCGUGAGUGAUGAAGGUCUUCGGAUCGUAAAGCUCUGUUAUUGGGGAAGAACAAAUGUGUAAGUAACUAUGCACGUCUUGACGGUACCUAAUCAGAAAGCCACGGCUAACUACGUG
rnacentral:rRNA from 1 species